AUACGGAGGAUCCGAGCGUUAUCCGGAUUUAUUGGGUUUAAAGGGAGCGUAGGUGGAUUGUUAAGUCAGUUGUGAAAGUUUGCGGCUCAACCGUAAAAUUGCAGUUGAAACUGGCAGUCUUGAGUACAGUAGAGGUGGGCGGAAUUCGUGGUGUAGCGGUGAAAUGCUUAGAUAUCACGAAGAACUCCGAUUGCGAAGGCUGCUCACUAGACUGUUACUGACACUGAUGCUCGAAAGUGUGGGUAUCGAACAGGAUUAGAUACCCUGGUAGUCCACACAGUAAACGAUGAAUACUCGCUGUUUGCGAUAUACAGUAAGCGGCCAAGCGAAAGCAUUAAGUAUUCCACCUGGGGAGUACGCCGGCAACGGUGAAACUCAAAGGAAUUGACGGGG
rnacentral:rRNA from 1 species